rnacentral:rRNA from 1 species
UACGGGGGGGGGUAAGCGUUGUUCGGAAUUACUGGGCGUAAAGGGCUCGUAGGCGGCCAACUAAGUCGGAUGUGAAAUCCCCAGGCUUAACCUGGGAACUGCAUCUGAUACUGGAUGGCUUGAAUCCGGGAGAGGGAUGCAGAAUUCCAGGUGUAGCGGUGAAAUGCGUAGAUAUCUGGAGGAAUACCGGUGGCGAAGGCGGCAUCCUGGACCGGCAUUGACGCUGAUGAGCGAAAGCCAGGGGAGCAAACGGG